rnacentral:rRNA from 1 species
GUAUCCUACGGGACGCAGCAGUGGGGAAUAUUGCGCAAUGGGCGAAAGCCUGACGCAGCGACGCCGCGUGAGGGAUGAAGGUCUUCGGAUCGUAAACCUCUGUCAGCAGGGAAGAACGGUCACUGUGCUAAUCAGCAGUGAAUUGACGGUACCUGCAAAGGAAGCACCGGCUAACUCCGUGCCAGCAGCCGCGGUAAUACGGAGGAUGCGAGCGUUAUCCGGAUUUAUUGGGUUUAAAGGGUGCGCAGGCGGCGUGUCAAGCAAGCGGUAAAAUAGCGGGGCUCAACCCCGUCGAGCCAUUUGAA